rnacentral:rRNA from 1 species
UUGCUUUUAAUAUUCAUCAAGUUUGACCUCAAAUCAGGUAGGAUUACCCGCUGAACUUAAGCAUAUCAAUAAGCGGAGGAAA